UACGUAGGAUGCAAGCGUUGUUCGGAAUUACUGGGCGUAAAGAGUACGUAGGCGGUAUGUUAAGUCGGAUGUGAAAGCCCUUGGCUCAACUAAGGAAGUGCAUCCGAAACUGGCAAGCUGGAGUACUAAAGAGGGUCGCGGAAUUCCCGGUGUAGAGGUGAAAUUCGUAGAUAUCGGGAGGAACACCGGUGGCGAAGGCGGCGACCUGGGUAGAUACUGACGCUGAGACGCGAAAGUGUGGGGAGCGAACAGG
rnacentral:rRNA from 1 species